GGGGUUGUGGUUUAGCCGUAGAGCGCUCACCUCACAUGUGAAAGGCCCUGGGUUCGAUCCUCAGCACCA
rnacentral:tRNA from 1 species